UGGGGAAUAUUGGACAAUGGGCGAAAGCCUGAUCCAGCCAUGCCGCGUGAGUGACGAAGGCCUUAGGGUUGUAAAACUCUUUCGUCGGGGACGAUAAUGACGGUACCCGAAGAAGAAGCUCCGGCUAACUUCGUGCCAGCAGCCGCGGUAAUACGAAGGGAGCUAGCGUUGUUCGGAAUCACUGGGCGUAAAGCGCACGUAGGCGGAUAGUUAAGUCAGGGGUGAAAUCCUGGGGCUCAACCCCAGAACUGCCUUUGAUACUGGCUGUCUCGAGGUCGAGAGAGGUUGGUGGAAUUCCUAGUGUAGAGGUGAAAUUCGUAGAUAUUAGGAAGAACACCAGUGGCGAAGGCGGCCAACUGGCUCGAUACUGACGCUGAGGUGCGAAAGCGUGGGGAGCAAACAGGAUUAGAUACCCCAGUAGUCCCUGAGCGGGCUGGCAAGGCG
rnacentral:rRNA from 1 species